GAUCACUACUGUCGAUUGGCAUUCACAGAGUUUACAAAUUCUAAACUUCGAUGGAAUUUGACAGAAAUGACACCCCGUCCAUUUCCAGCGACAGUUUGCUUGAGUUGCGCCAAUCGAACUUCCCUACAGAUCUGUGACCUGAUGCCUUGAAGCUCCAAGUUUCUGUUGAACACCAGAGGACAGCACCCAAUGUGCAUGUUUCCCAACCGUUGCUUCUGCUCCUGAUAUGAAGUUUACCCAGUUGCUGUUCUUAUACGCAUAUGAUAAUAAAUAUAUUUUAAAAUCAAAGAAA